UCAGACGAUGCGUCAUGCAUAUCAAUAAGCGGAGGAAAAGAAACUAACAAGGAUUCCCUUAGUAACGGCGAGUGAAGCGGGAAGAGCUCAAAUUUGAAAUCUUCAAGGUUUUACCUUGACGAAUUGUAGUUUAAAGAAGUGUUUUCUGUUGAAGUUUUGGUAAAAGUUCUUUGGAAUAGGACAUCAUAGAGGGUGAGAAUCCCGUAUUUGACCAUUAUUUUCAGCUGUGUGAUACACUUUCAAAGAGUCGGAUUGUUUGGGAAUGCAGUCCAAAAUGGGUGGUAAAUUUCAUCUAAAGCUAAAUAUUGGCGAGAGACCGAUAGCGAACAAGUACCGUGAGGGAAAGAUGAAAAGAACUUUGAAAAGAGAGUUAAACAGUACGUGAAAUUGUCAAAAGGGAAGCGUUUGACACCAGUAUUGUUUUCUCGAAAAUCAAUUAAAAAGAGUUGGAUUUUGUGUUGUAUUGACCUUAACAGCUUGCUUCACUCUUUUCCUGCUUUUUUUAAUGCACUUUUCGUUUAACAAGUCAACAUCAGUUUCUUUUGUUGUAAAAGGGUCAUUGGAAGGUGGCUUUCUCUUCGGAGAAAGUGUUUAUAGCCUUUGAUCUCUGCAAUCGGAGAGACUGAGGUCUGCAGCGUAGAUCCUUCGGGGUUAGAUACAUUUGUGCUAAGCUACAGCUUUUCAUAGACAACUUGUUGACUAUGUUUAGUCUUGUAACUUACCCGCUUAUGCUAUUUUACCUACGCUUAGGAUGUUGAUAUGCAUGACUGAUAU
rnacentral:rRNA from 1 species